GACGAACGCUGGCGGCGUGCUUAACACAUGCAAGUCGAACGGAAAGGCCCUGCUUUUGUGGGGUGCUCGAGUGGCGAACGGGUGAGUAACACGUGAGUAAACUGCCCUUGACUUUGGGAUAACUUCAGGAAACUGGGGCUAAUACCGGAUAGGAGCUCCUGCUGCAUGGUGGGGGUUGGAAAGUUUCGGCGGUUGGGGAUGGACUCGCGGCUUAUCAGCUUGUUGGUGGGGUAGUGGAUUACCAAGGCUUUGACGGGUAGCCGGCCUGAGAGGGUGACCGGCGACAAUAGGACUGCGAGACGGCCCAGUCUCCAACGGGAGGCAGCGGUGGAGAGUAUUGCGCAGUGGGCGGGAGCCUGUUACAACGGCGCCGCGUUCGGAAUGACGUCCUUUGGGUGAUAAACCGCUUUCGCCUGUGACGAGGCGUGAGUGACGGUACUGAGUAAGGAAGCACCGGCUAACUACGUG
rnacentral:rRNA from 1 species